rnacentral:rRNA from 1 species
UACAGGGGGGGCAAGCGUUGUUCGGAAUUACUGGGCGUAAAGGGCUCGUAGGUGGCCAACUAAGUCGGACGUGAAAUCCCUCAGCUUAACUGGGGAACUGCAUCCGAUACUGGAUGGCUUGAGUUCGGGAGAGGGAUGCGGAAUUCCAGGUGUAGCGGUGAAAUGCGUAGAUAUCUGGAGGAACACCGGUGGCGAAGGCGGCAUCCUGGACCGACACUGACACUGAGGAGCGAAAGCCAGGGGAGCAAACGGG